rnacentral:lncRNA from 1 species
AGUUGCAAUCUCUAUCACCGAUCAUAGCAGAUUUUAAGAAGCAUUACCAUCACAACAUAUUGCACCAACCAUCCAUGGAUGAACCGGUCGGUGGGAUGAUGAGUGAUAACUAGGUUCUUAUCAAUUUUGCUAAUAGAUGGCAUGACCUGGCAUCCAGAUCCAGACUGAAACUCGAGGAGUAUGACUAGGUUUGGAUGUUCAUUUAACCCCAAGAUCAUUCAACCUCUUGCAAAGCGUCCAUAAUUGUCCUCAUCACUAUUUAGAUGCAAUGCAUGGACAAUUCAAAUCCUGUUAGUCAUUA